rnacentral:lncRNA from 1 species
GGGAGUUGAGCAGGGCCCUGAUCCACAGCUGCACCACUGGGGCAGGGCCCCUGGAGCUCCAGGCAUGGAAGAAGGCCAGCAAGCCAGACAGCCCAGCUUCUUGAGGUGGAGGCUGCCGUAGGUCUGGAUACCUAUCAACCCAGAAGAGAACCAUCACUUUCUUCCAGGAAAAACAUACAGAUGAGAACAGAGAAGUGCCUAGGAAAGAGGAGGGAGAGACCCACGGGGCACAGGGGCUCUGAGGGUAAGUGAGGGCUGCCCCACUAGCUGGGCAGCUCAUGAACUUAGCAGCACCACAGUCAGCUCGAUCGCAGCCUUGGCACCAGGAAUGAUUAAUCUGGGUCCUGGGAGGAAAGGGGACGUUCAGGGGGCUGAGACCCACCUUCUAGACUGAGGUCACCAGUUUCCUCUCCAUACUCAUCAACCCUGCACAUCUAAGCCAAGUGCUUAGCAGCUCAGUCAAAUUAACUGUGGCACUUUCAAAAGCAUCAAAAUAGCGACAAGUCUCCCUAAAAAGAAGGCAGGCGCCUUGUUUUCAAGAUACGAAGUCAUCACCGGGAGAUCAGAAAACAAAUAUUCAUUCUGUGCCGGUACAUUCCCCCACCCUUUCUUCCAUGGUCCCCUCUGCCCCCCCCCCGAAAAAAGGGGGGUUUAAAAAUAUCAGCACCAA